rnacentral:rRNA from 1 species
AGCGAACGCUGGCGGCAGGCGUAACACAUGCAAGUCGAACGGGCACUUCGGUGUAAGUGGCAGACGGGUGAGUAACCAGUGGGAACGUACCUUUUGGUUCGGAACAACUGAGGGAAACUUCAGCUAAUACCGGAUAAGCCCUUACGGCGAAAGAUUUAUCGCCGAAAGAUCCGCCCGCGUCUUAUUAGCUAGUUGGUAGGGUAAUGGCCUACCAAGGCGACGAUCAGUAGCUGGUCUGAGAGGAUGAUCAGCCACAUUGGGACUGAGACACGGCCCAAACUCCUACGGGAGGCAGCAGUGGGGAAUAUUGGACAAUGGGGGCAACCCUGAUCCAGCCAUGCCGCGUGAGUGAUGAAGGCCCUAGGGUUGUAAAGCUCUUUUGUGCGGGAAGAUAAUGACGGUACCGCAAGAAUAAGCCCCGGCUAACUUCGUGCCAGCAGCCGCGGUAA